rnacentral:lncRNA from 1 species
GGGAGCUCUGGUGCCUGCAUGUUAUUAGCAAUAUAUUUCAUGCGUUAGUAACGUACUUACACAGAGUUUUUUUUUCAGGAAACUACAGUGAACUUCCAUUUUUUUUACUUAACUGAAAUUACUUACGUGUGUGUAGGAUCGUUGGGCUAUAGGAGUAUCUUUUCGAAGAUCGAUGGACAAGGAGGUGUGACAUUUGGCUUAUGCAGCAAUGGAUCCCUGGGAGGCAUAUGACUUCAAGCUUUUUUUUUGCUUGCAGUUUUCUUUUACUCGAUGCCUUUUUGGAGGAUGCGUCUUUGACUCUUGCUCCUUCUUGGUGUCGGACUGCAUAUACGUUCCGUAUCUCUUUUUAAUUGGCAAAUGAACAGUCCUGUCGCUGUCUACGCCAUUCGACGAUCUUUCUGGAAUGCGGUAUACUGGCUCUGUGAUAGUUAUUUGCCCUUCACACGGAAUAGGUGAGCAUGGAGUCUUAGCGGGACCAAACCAAAACAACAUCUCAACUUCUUCUUGUUACACGGACGACGUGGCUGUCUGCAUGUGGACUGUCUCAGCAGGGAGAAUAAACUUAUCUUUGUUGUUCAAUGUGUUUGUAUGAUGCCAUACCAUUUGAACUUCUUCUACACCCAGCCCGCACCCUACCGGGAUCUCUCUUUGCUUUUCAUUUCUGUCGGGACCUCA